GAGCUGUUGCCAUCGAUUUGGAGUUGCUGCGGAAUGGGGCCACUAGGAGAGUAGUGCUGCUGCUAAACCACAGGCUCUGCGGCCGAGACUCUGCCGCCGAAGAACACUCUUCCGAGCUUCUGGCCGCCGUCGGAGCUGUUGUCGGGGUCGGUUCAAAAUUGCAGCUGCCUCAUUGUGUUAUUCGUGUUGCUAUGGUUGUUGCGAAUGUGGCUUGAAGCUGAGGUUGCGGUUGUUGUUGAUUUCGGGUUGAGGCGGAAAGGACUCUGUGACGCGUUUGAGUUAUGGAAUUUGCGUUUUGAGGAUAUGGGCGCAGAAGUCACGAAGAGUUUAUUUUGUUAUUGAG